AAUAUUGCACAAUGGGCGCAAGCCUGAUGCAGCCAUGCCGCGUGUAUGAAGAAGGACCUUCGGGUUGUAAAGUACUUUCAGCAGUGAGGAAAGGUGGAUAUGGUUAAUAGCAUAUUCAUUUGACGUUAGCUGCAGAAGAAGCACCGGCUAACUCCGUGCCAGCAGCCGCGGUAAUACGGAGGGUGCGAGCGUUAAUCGGAAUUACUGGGCGUAAAGCGCAUGCAGGUGGUUUUGUUAAGUCAGAUGUGAAAGCCCCGGGGCUCAACCUCGGAAAUUGCAUUUGAAACUGGCAAACUAGAGUACUGUAGAGGGGGGUAGAAUUUCAGGUGUAGCGGUGAAAAUGCGUAGAGAUCUGAAGGAAUACCGGUGGCGAAGGCGGCCCCCCUGGACAGAUACUGACACUCAGAUGCGAAAGCGUGGGGAGCAAACAGGAUUAGAUACCCUGGUAG
rnacentral:rRNA from 1 species